rnacentral:rRNA from 1 species
UACGUAGGGUGCAAGCGUUAAUCGGAAUUACUGGGCGUAAAGCGUGCGCAGGCGGUUGUGCAAGACCGAUGUGAAAUCCCCGGGGUUAACCUGGGAAUGGCAUUGGUGACUGCACGGCUAGAGUGUGUCAGAGGGGGGUAGAAUUCCACGUGUAGCAGUGAAAUGCGUAGAGAUGUGGAGGAAUACCGAUGGCGAAGGCAGCCCCCUGGGAUAACACUGACGCUCAUGCACGAAAGCGUGGGGAGCAAACAGG